CGAGGGGAGCGCGAGCGUGGGGCUCUCGGAGCGCGGGCUGGGGCGGCACCGGCAGCGACACCGACAGCGACACCGACAGCGACAGCGGCACCGACAGCGACACCGACACCGGCAGCGACAGCCACAGCAGCACCGGCACCGACACCGACAGCCACAGCAGCACCGGCACCGACACCGGCAGCGGCAGCGGCACUGCCCCUCCCAGGGAGCUGUAACUGCACGGAGGCCUCCCCUCAGUCUCCUCCAGGCUGAACGGACCAAGUGACCUCAGCCGCUCCUCAAACUGGUAACAUUUGAGAAAACCUUAGUGUUCCUCACCUUCCUUCUGUCCAGGUAGCCUCUUCAAGCACUUCUCAUAUCCAGCCAGAGUUGGAUCCACAUUUCAGAGUGAUAGGUUAAAAAUGUGGUGCUUCCCUCUCUCCCUCCACCUUUUUAGUUGCCAAUUGACACCCAAAAUGAUGUGACAGGUUUUCCUGAUAGUGCACCUCACCUUUGGUGUUGUGUAAAUCCCAAAGGACUGAUGGGAAUCCCGUGGUUUUAUUGAUGAGUCUUCUAAUACUAUUUGAGGAGGAUUUUCUGGGCAGGUGUCUGCAGAGUCUCACAAGAAGCCUUUCUCAUGGAAGCCACACCUCAGAUAGUUGUGAAUUACUGCAGUGUUACUUCCAUCAAGUGUUAGCAUCUGGAUAUGGCUGUGCUCAACUAAUUGUGUCUUGGAUUAAAGUGCCAGAUGACAGCUGAUACUACACCGUUCUUUCCCUAAAUAAACAGUAUAUUUUCAGCCUAUUGUGGCAACUCCCAUUGAGCUGUAAGAAAAGUGAGGAGGUCCUGCUUUCAGCUAAGUCUCCUGCAAGGUGCAAUCAGUGGAAAUAAAGCAGAGGUGAGGCUGGAGGAAGAGAGGUGAUACUGGGCUGUGACAUAAGGGAUGGCACCAGUUCUAACCUUUGUAAAAGGCUGUGAAAGUCACAUCAUAGUGGUGAUGUUUUACAUCAUUUGCUGGGUGUGGGGGAGAGCAUCCUAAGUAUAUAUAUAUACACACAUAUAUAUCUCCUGGUAGAAAGAAACUGGAAAAAUGAAGAUUAAAGGACUGAGCAAGCCCUGGCACUGCAGAGAGGCUGGCAGGACAGUCUGUGCCCAGUGCCCAGUGCCCCCUUCCCCAGUACAUCUCCCAGCACAAAGGCUUUGGGAGAGAAAAUGCAUGAUAUGCCUGUGAUCAGCUCAAAUUUUUCUUCACAAAUCUGUCUGGAAUUUAGGACUGAAACAAAGAGCUGUGACUUUGUAGCCCCUCGUUCAACAAAUGUUCAACAAACAGGUGGAAAUUGUAGCUUUUAACUGGUUUCCUUCAAGUCCUUUCCCUGGGGCAUUUCCAGGCAAUAAAGAUUUGAUCAUUA